GGAAUGGUUGCAGCUGGCUGGGAAGAAGAAGGAAGAAGAACAAGAAGCCAGAGACACUUCUUCUCAAAGCUGCCACAAAAAAUCAGGAUCCUCCAAGUACAAAAUUGGAAGACAUGUUUAAUAGUGAUUUAGGUUCCAUCAGCACCAGUUAUAAUGGAACCUAUAAUCAAUAUUCAGUCCUUUCAAUGUCAUACUCGUGAGAUUCUGGUAUGCUGUGGCAUUCUUUUUUGGCCUUAAUACUACCAGAAACAAAAAAGGUAAACAAAAGGUAAAGGUUUUGAGUUCUUAAAAUAAGGUUACUCAAC
rnacentral:misc_RNA from 1 species